rnacentral:lncRNA from 1 species
GAAUAAAGGUGAAAUAAAAAAUAAUAGAAAUAACAAAAUACUGUAUGUGGGAAUGUCUUAUGUCCGUUCUACAUGUAGAGUUGGUACAUGGAAUAUUCAUCAACUGCAUAUAUCAUAAAUUGCUAUUGCAAAUAGAAGUAUUAUUUUCAACAACUGACAUUUUCAGUUAUUAUUUUGACAAACACACUUUAACACACUUUGGUGCUUACAAUUCAUUCUCAAUUGUCAUAGAUUUGGUGGGCACUGUCAUCUGUGAUCUUUGUGAUAUGACUUUCUUUAAGCACGUACUGAUGAAACGGUCACUCUACAUUUAUUCACUCUGGGAUAGGGUUGAAUCCUAUAUGCUACUUUUAUUAUUGUCCUGUGAAUGGUUCAGUGGCUAUAAUUUAGGCUGUAUGUAGAAUGGGGCAUAAAGGAAAUGACAUCUACUAGAUUAUAGUGAUAAGGAAAUCAGCAUACAGUUUUGGCCUGUGUAUUCAUUUGCCUGUAACUAAUCAGAAUUCCAUUAUGUUUCCAUAAAAAAGAGAAUACUUCAAAAUGAGAAGAUCCUGCCAUGGAAAAGACGACUGCGUGGACAUAAAGUGGAAAGGAGGGGAAAUAACUCACACCAUGCAGCAGGACACCUUCAGCUGUGGGGUCUUUGUAAUGCAGAUGGCCAAGGAAGUUGCACAGAACUUCCCCAACAUCCCAAACUGAUAUAGAACCUUCAAAAACACAUGGAGCAACUGCAAAAAGAAAUGGCUGAGGAUAUACUAAAAAUGUCUGAGUUCAACAAAGCCAACAACUUCUUAAUGUGUACCACUGAUAAAGAACCUGGAUGCGGCCCAAAGACUGACUGGAUUGAAUGUUUUGCAUGCCAACGGGGGUUCCAUGUGCUGUGCCUAGGAAUGAAG